rnacentral:rRNA from 1 species
UAGCUAGAGUUUGAUCCUGGCUCAGGAUGAACGCUGGCGGCGUGCUUAACACAUGCAAGUCGAGCGGAGUGAAUUGAGAGCUUGCUUUUGAUUCACUUAGCGGCGGACGGGUGAGUAACGUGUGGGCAACCUGCCUCAUACUGUGGAAUAACCACCGGAAACGGUGACUAAUACCGCAUGUGGUGUCGGGAAGGCAUCUUUCUGACAAGAAAGGAUUUAUUCGGUAUGAGAUGGGCCCGCAUCUGAUUAGCUAGUUGGUGAGAUAACAGCCCACCAAGGCGACGAUCAGUAGCCGACCUGAGAGGGUGACCGGCCACAUUGGGACUGAGACACGGCCCAAACUCCUACGGGAGGCAGCAGUGGGGAAUAUUGCACAAUGGGGGAAACCCUGAUGCAGCAACGCCGCGUGAAGGAAGACGGUUUUCGGAUUGUAAACUUCUAUCAAUAGGGAAGAAAGAAAUGACGGUACCUAAAUAAGAAGCCCCGGCUAACUACGUGCCAGCAGCCGCGGUAA